UUGUUGGUGAACCGUAGUCAUGGUGGCUUGGCUUUUGAACCGCGCUGUGUUGCGCGAAGUAUGGUGGCUUCGGCCGAGAGGACGACCUAUUUGGGACCAUUUGUGCGGCUUCGUGCUGCAUCUCAA
rnacentral:rRNA from 1 species